GACGAACGCUGGCGGCGUGCCUAAUACAUGCAAGUAGAACGCUGAAGAGAGGAGCUUGCUCUUCUUGGAUGAGUUGCGAACGGGUGAGUAACGCGUAGGUAACCUGCCUUGUAGCGGGGGAUAACUAUUGGAAACGAUAGCUAAUACCGCAUAACAAUGGAUGUCACAUGUCAUUUAUUUGAAAGGGGCAAUUGCUCCACUACAAGAUGGACCUGCGUUGUAUUAGCUAGUAGGUGAGGUAAUGGCUCACCUAGGCGACGAUACAUAGCCGACCUGAGAGGGGGAUAGGCCACACUGGGACUGAGACACGGCCCAGACGCCUACGGGAGGCAGCAGGAGGGAAUCUUCGGCAAUUGGGGCAACCCUGACCGAGCAACGCCGCGUGAGUGAAGAAGGUUUUCGGAUCGUAAAGCUCUGUUGUAAGUCAAGAACGGGUGUGAGAGUGGAAAGUUCACACUGUGACGGUAGCUUACCAGAAAGGGACGGCUAACUACGUG
rnacentral:rRNA from 1 species